UACAGAGGGUGCGAGCGUUAAUCGGAAUUACUGGGCGUAAAGCGCACGUAGGUGGCGACGUAAGUCGGGUGUGAAAGCCCCGGGCUCAACCUGGGAAUUGCAUUCGAGACUGCAUUGCUGGAGUACGGAAGAGGAGGGCGGAAUUCCCGGUGUAGCGGUGAAAUGCGUAGAUAUCGAGAGGAACACCUGCGGCGAAGGCGGGUUGCUGGGCUGACACUGACGCUGAGGCGCGAAAGCUAGGGGAGCAAACGGG
rnacentral:rRNA from 1 species